UUAAGUAUUGUGUGUUUGCUGUAAAUAUGGACAGACAGCAAUAAUAUGUUGGAUUUAGGUGGGUAUUUCUUGAAGCAAAAGAUGUCCACAAAGGACCUACAUACAUUA